rnacentral:lncRNA from 1 species
AAAAAAAAAAACAUUACUAUGAAGGUGCUUCAUCACGUGCGUGCAAAUUAAUUAAUAAUUAGCUGUAUGUAUAUACACAUGAUUCAUGUAUAUAUGUAUAUGAUUUUUACUCACGUAGGUAUGGUGGAUGAUAAGCGGUAGCAGUGCCAAUAUCCGCGAACACGAAGCUUAAUUCUGUGCUUAAUAAACUUAAUAUGAUUGUAAACACUAAGAGUACUGCCAUACAGUAAUUAACCAGUGUGCAAAAUGAGACACUUAAUAUUAAUUGGCUAGUUUAAUAUUGCUAGCUGUAUGACA